rnacentral:tRNA from 1 species
AAGCAAGAAGCAAAAAUUUGCACUUAGUUUCGGCCUAAGAGUUUGAUGAAAAAUCAUCCUUGCUUA